GACGAACGCUGGCGGCGUGCCUAAUACAUGCAAGUAGAACGCACAGUUUAUACCGUAGCUUGCUACACCAUAAACUGUGAGUUGCGAACGGGUGAGUAACGCGUAGGUAACCUGCCUGGUAGCGGGGGAUAACUAUUGGAAACGAUAGCUAAUACCGCAUAAUAUUAAUUAUUGCAUGAUAAUUGAUUGAAAGAUGCAAUUGCAUCACUACCAGAUGGACCUGCGUUGUAUUAGCUAGUAGGUGAGGUAACGGCUCACCUAGGCGACGAUACAUAGCCGACCUGAGAGGGUGAUCGGCCACACUGGGACUGAGACACGGCCCAGACUCCUACGGGAGGCAGUAGUAGGGAAUCUUCGGCAAUGGACGAAAGUCUGACCGAGCAACGCCGCGUGAGUGAAGAAGGUUUUCGGAUCGUAAAGCUCUGUUGUAAGAGAAGAACGGGUGUGAGAGUGGAAAGUUCACACUGUGACGGUAUCUUACCAGAAAGGGACGGCUAACUACGUG
rnacentral:rRNA from 1 species